GCAUAUAGAUUUUGUCUUGUCAGUGCAUCCGUCCGUCCGUCCGUCCGAAGUUCGUGACGCGCCUAGCUCAAAAAGUAUUUGAUAUAAAUUGAUUAAACCUUGCAUGAGUCUUUAUCAUGAUAUGAACUUGCACACCUCCCAUUUUUUGUCUGGCUCCGCCCCCUAUUUUCUGAGUUAUGGCCCCUGAAAUAGUCAAAAAUGCACAUUUUCAUCUUGUGAUGCGCCUAGCUCAAAAAGUAUUUGAUAUAAAUUGAUGAAACCUUGCAUGAGUCUUUAUCAUGAUAUGAACUUGCGCACCUCCUAUUUUUCGUCUGGCUUCGCCCCCUAUUUUCAGAGUUAUGGCCCCUGAAAUAGUCAAAAAUGCACAUUUUCACCUUGUGACGCGCCUAGCUCAAAAAUAUUUGAUAUAAAUUGAUGAAACCUUGCAUGAGUCUUUAUCAUGAUAGGAACUUGCGCACCUCCUAUUUUUCGUCUGGCUCCGCCCCCUAUUUUCAGAGUUAUGGCCCCUGAAAUAGUCAAAAAUGCACAUUUUCACCUUGUGACGCGCCUAGCUCAAAAAUAUUUGAUAUAAAUUGAUGAAACCUUGCAUGAGUCUUUAUCAUGAUAUGAACUUGCGCACCUCCCAUUUUUUGUCUGGCUCCGCCCCCUAUUUUCUGAGUUAUGGCCCCUGAAAUAGUCAAAAAUGCACAUUUUCACCUUGUGACGCGCCUAGCUCAAAAAGUAUUAGAUAUAAAGAUGAAA